UGGUAAUUAGUUUAACCAAAAUUAAUGAUUUCGACUCAUUAGAAUAUGAUAUCAACUCAUAAUUACCAA
rnacentral:tRNA from 1 species